CUUUCGAAAGGGCAAUUUUGCUGUUUAUAGUGAUAUUUGAUUUGGUUAUAACUGUUAGUAGGAAACUCUGUUUUAGUUGUCGUCUGUUUUGGCAAUCUUAUAUUUCUUUAUAGUUUUCAUUUUCGUAGUCAAAUUAGAAUUUUUCUUUUUUGGCAAUUUUUGUCCUUCUUUCAGUUAAGACAUGAUUUGCCUUCCUAUUUUGUCUAGGGUUUCUACGGACCUAUAAGGGUUAUUGUAAGCCUUAGGGCGAGACAGUUUUUGAUAUUUAUGAAUGAAAAUUGAGAUAUAUCUCUAUCUGUUUUUGUGUUUCAAAGGGAUAAUAUUUAACAUAGACAAGUUCGUGAUCUCUUCUUGGAAUUAGUUUUGUAAAAGAAAGCUCCGCUGCAUCACUAUGGGUUACAUGGUUGGUAAUCUCUCCAUCUCACUAAAAAUUGAACAUAAGUAAUGCUCACUUUAAGAGUUAAUUUCUCGUUUAUUUUCCAACACAAACACCUUUGUGAGUACUGUUUGCCAAAAAAGAAACCACCCUGUUGUGACUGCCAGCCGCUGGCAUAAUUAAUAUUGGCUAUGCUAUUUGUGCUAGGUUGGUACUAGAGAGAGAGAGAGAGAGAGAGAGAGAUGUAACAGUACUACUACAAAUGAGAAUCGCAAUAUCACCAAACAGAUGAUAAAACAGAGCAGUAAAUACUCGUACUCGAUCCUAGCUAGACACCAGGACUGUGACUCAAAUCUGGAGAGAGUCACCAAUUGUUAUUCAUGCAUAUGUGUACAUCAUGCAUAUGUGUACAUAUGCUUUCUCUCUCUAGCUAUAUUGCUAAAUAGAUACGUACUCCGCACCUCCAUCAACCUCACUGCACCCUGCAACAAAACAAGUUAUCAAACAUAGAGUUAGCUAUAUAGUUUGGUCCAAUUCGUAAUUGAAUGAAAAACAUACUCCUAUAGAACUACCAACACUAUUUUCUUAGCACUGCCAACACUAGUGGGAGAUACAGUACCAUGAGAGAGUGAUAGUAAGGGCUCAUUUGGCUUUAAAAGUCAAACAGUAACUCUUUUUUUUUUGGUCUCUAUUCAAAUUUUUUGCACUUGUUAAUUUUGCGUUAAAAUUUUGUGACUUAUUGAUUCGUCUCGGUGAGAGAAAUCAGAAAAAUAAAUUUUUUUGGUCGAAACUCAUAAUUUAAAAAAAAAAAAAGAACAAGUAAAACAAGUUGUCUUAUUUUUGUCUUUAUUCAAAAAAUUAUGAGUUUCGAUCAAUUUUUUUUACUUUUCCGAUUUUUUUUGUCGAGACGAAUCAAUAAGUCACAAAAAUUUGAGGCAAAACAAACAAAUGCAAAAAAAAUUCAAAUAAAGAAAAAAAAUAAGUCACCUUAUUUUUCAAUCCAAACCCACCCUAAUAACCACAUCAUUGCCCCUCUAAUGAAAUAAUAAUUUUUUUGUUUUGAUGUUAAUAACAAUUUAUUAAAACAUACUUUGAAUAAGUCCUAAAAUUAUACUAUUUUUUAAAAUAAUUACAUCUUCGUGUGGAUUAUCUGGUCAUGAAUCGGCUAAUAUAAAUGGUAAGUACCGAAAAAUAGCCACAAAAGGGGACAUUCCAGUUGCUCUCCCACUCCCCACGGCUAAAAAAUACAGCUUUUCUAAUAUGAAUUUGAUAUCCAUAAGAUCAAAAUAUAUCGAUUUUAUAGUAUCAUGGUUGUCCAAUAUUUAUGAGAGAGAGAGAGAGAGAGAGAGUGAGUGUGUACUUGGAGCAGUCAGUGGAAGGGCUGAUCUGGUAAGGAAGGCUGAGACCACAUUUACCGGGGAGGCUAGCAGCGAGACCGUAGUUGAGACCAGAUAUCCCCCCAGCAGCAGACUUUAGGCACCUGCACGCGGUCUGGCGGUCAGGUGUGGUCUUAGCCGCGUUGUUUAGGGAUUUAACGCCGUUGCAGCAGGGCGCCGGCACUGCCCCACCGCUGCCCCUCAGGUAGCUGAUGCAUGGGGAAAGGCUCGACACCACCUGGCCGCACGAUAUCGCCGCCUCCGCGUGGGGUGCAGCCACCACCAUGCACAUUAGCACCACCACACAGGCCACCUUGUUCACCAUUUUUUCUGAGAACCUAGCGAGU